CAGUAGCCGCGGGAAUACGUAGGGUGCGAGCGUUAAUCGGAAUUACUGGGCGUAAAGCGUGCGCAGGCGGUUUGUAAGACAGGCGUGAAAUCCCCGGGCUCAACCUGGGAAUGGCGCUUGUGACUGCAAAGCUAGAGUGCGGCAGAGGGGGAUGGAAUUCCGCGUGUAGCAGUGAAAUGCGUAGAUAUGCGGAGGAACACCGAUGGCGAAGGCAAUCCCCUGGGCCUGCACUGACGCUCAUGCACGAAAGCGUGGGGAGCAAACAGGAUUAGAUACCCCCGUAGUCCCUGUCUCUUAUACA
rnacentral:rRNA from 1 species